rnacentral:rRNA from 1 species
UACGUAGGGGGCUAGCGUUGUCCGGAUUUAUUGGGCGUAAAGAGCGUGUAGGCGGCCAGAUAGGUCUGCUGUGAAAACUCGAGGCUCAACCUCGAGCUGUCGGCGGAAACCAUUUGGCUAGAGUCCGGAAGAGGAAAGUGGAAUUCCUGGUGUAGCGGUGAAAUGCGUAGAGCUCGGGAAGAACAUCGGUGGCGAAAGCGCUCUACUGGACGACAACUGACACUCAGGGACGAAAGCUAGGGGAGCGAAUGGG